AAGUGCGAAGCUCGUCUCAAGAUGAGAUUUCCCUUAAGGGUCGUUGUAGACUACGACGUUGAUAGGCUGCAGGUGUAAAGGUGGCAACAUCAAAGCCGAGCAGUACUAAUUACCCGUGAGCUUUCUG
rnacentral:rRNA from 1 species